AGGAAAGCUAUUGUUUGGGGUUGGUGUAAUUAAUUUGGCUUAUAGUUUUUUGUUGGGUAAAGAGUCAAGAAUAUUGUGAUGAAUCUGGAAGUGAAGAACAAUAGCAAAAGGAUCAAUCUAGCUCAAUUCCCUUCUUUCUCAACUUAGCCUCCAGCUCAGCUUCUUGUUUCAUUAGCUCAACUUCCAGCUCCCAGUUACUGUCAUAUUCCUUCUUGAUCCUUUUGCUACUGUUCUUCACCUCCAGAUUCAUCACAAAAAUUCAUUUAACAAAGCAUCCGUAGCCACUGCUUGAAUCCAUAGCCAUAUUCUCUGAAACAAUCAUAUAUAUAGCUUCCAAAAGACCAGAACUAGUGAGACCACUGCGUGCAACACUUCUAGAUGAGUUUUGCCGUUGAUGAAAUUCCUUGUCACCAACAGCUUGUCUUUUCAAUUAGGAUUACAGUUUUAUUAUACAGACAUGAAGAUAAAUUUAAUUAGAGGAAGCAGUAGUCAUUAAAUUAAGCGCAGGGGUGUGCAAUAAGCUAAUGGUUUUGAAAUCCGUUAAAAAAAAAAUCAAAACAAACGACCAAGAAUGUGAUUUAAGUAGAGAUACUCAUGGA
rnacentral:lncRNA from 1 species